rnacentral:rRNA from 1 species
GUAGGUGGCAAGCGUUGUCCGGAAUUAUUGGGGCGUAAAGCGCGCGCAGGCGGUCCUUUAAGUCUGAUGUGAAAGCCCACGGGCUCAACCGUGGGAGGGGUCAUUGGAAACUGGGGGACUUGAGUGCAGAAGAGGAGAGUGGAGUUCCACGUGUAGCGGUGAAAUGCGUAGAGAUGUGGAGGAACACCAGUGGCGAAGGCGGCUCUCUGGUCUGUAACUGACGCUGAGGCGCGAAAGCGUGGGGAGCGAACAGGAUUAGAUACCCUGGUAGUCCACGCCGUAAACGAUGAGUGCUAAGUGUUAGAGGGUUUCCGCCCUUUAGUGCUGCAGCUAACGCAUUAAGCACUCCGCCUGGGGAGUACGGUCGCAAAGACUG